AAAGACGAACUGGAGUAGGCAUGAAAUCAGAAUUCAUCAAGUUCAUUAAGCUGCUCCACAUGAAUAUUUGUUGCCACAUCCGGUUCAAGAUUCAACUUCCUCAAAUCCCAAAUGGCCUUGUUCUCUAACUCAACCGGUAGAUGGCAAGCGUUCCCAAAUAUCAACCGGUACAGAGACAUACCAAUCAGAGUUUUGUAAGCAGUCUUAUAAUCCCAUAGAGUAUCAUCCAAUUUUGUUUACCAGUAGUUCCUAUUUGCAUUGACCG
rnacentral:lncRNA from 1 species